rnacentral:rRNA from 1 species
UACGUAGGGCGCAAGCGUUAUCCGGAAUUAUUGGGCGUAAAGAGCUCGUAGGCGGUUUGUCGCGUCUGCCGUGAAAGUCCGGGGCUCAACUCCGGAUCUGCGGUGGGUACGGGCAGACUAGAGUGCAGUAGGGGAGACUGGAAUUCCUGGUGUAGCGGUGAAAUGCGCAGAUAUCAGGAGGAACACCGAUGGCGAAGGCAGGUCUCUGGGUUGUAACUGACGCUGAGGAGCGAAAGCGUGGGUAGCAAACAGG